UAACACCGAUAUGCUUCGGGGAGCUGUAAGUAAGCUUUGAUCCGGAGAUUUCCGAAUGGGGAAACCCACUGCUCGUAAUGGAGUAGUAUCUUCACCUGAAUUCAUAGGGUGAUGAUGGCAGACCCGGGGAACUGAAACAUCUAAGUACCCGGAGGAAGAGAAAGCAAACGCGAUUUCCUGAGUAGCGGCGAGCGAAACGGAAGAAGCCCAAACCAAGAGGCUUGCCUCUUGGGGUUGUAGGACACUCUAUACGGAGUUACAAAGGAACGGAGUAAAUGAAGAGGUCUGGAAAGGCCCGUCAAAGAAGGUAACAACCCUGUAGUUGAAACUUCGUUCCCUCCAGAGUGGAUCCUGAGUACGGCGGGACACGUGAAAUCCCGUCGGAAGCAGGGAGGACCAUCUCCCAAGGCUAAAUACUCCCUAGUGACCGAUAGUGAACCAGUACCGUGAGGGAAAGGUGAAAAGCACCCCGGAAGGGGAGUGAAAGAGAUCCUGAAACCGUGUGCCUACAAGUAGUCAAAGCCCGUUAAUGGGUAAUGGCGUGCCUUUUGUAGAAUGAACCGGCGAGUUACGAUCCCGUGCAAGGUUAAGUUGAUAAGACGGAGCCGCAGCGAAAGCGAGUCUGAAUAGGGCGAAAGAGUACGUGGUCGUAGACCCGAAACCAGGUGAUCUACCCAUGUCCAGGGUGAAGUUCAGGUAACACUGAAUGGAGGCCCGAACCCACGCACGUUGAAAAGUGCGGGGAUGAGGUGUGGGUAGCGGAGAAAUUCCAAUCGAACUUGGAGAUAGCUGGUUCUCUCCGAAAUAGCUUUAGGGCUAGCCUUGAAAUGAGAGUCUUGGAGGUAGAGCACUGAUUGGACUAGGGGCCCCCAUCGGGUUACCGAAUUCAGUCAAACUCCGAAUGCCAAAGACUUAUGUUCAGGAGUCAGACUGCGAGUGAUAAGAUCCGUAGUCAAGAGGGAAACAGCCCAGACCACCAGCUAAGGUCCCAAAGUAUACGUUAAGUGGAAAAGGAUGUGGAGUUGCUUAGACAACCAGGAUGUUGGCUUAGAAGCAGCCACCAUUUAAAGAGUGCGUAAUAGCUCACUGGUCGAGUGACUCUGCGCCGAAAAUGUACCGGGGCUAAACGUAUCACCGAAGCUGUGGACUGUUCUUACGAACAGUGGUAGGAGAGCGUUCUAAGGGCUGUGAAGCCAGACCGUAAGGACUGGUGGAGCGCUUAGAAGUGAGAAUGCCGGUAUGAGUAGCGAAAGAGGGGUGAGAAUCCCCUCCACCGAAUGCCUAAGGUUUCCUGAGGAAGGCUCGUCCGCUCAGGGUAAGUCGGGACCUAAGCCGAGGCCGAAAGGCGUAGGCGAUGGCCAACAGGUUGAAAUUCCUGUACCACCUCCUCACCGUUUGAGCAAUGGGGGGACGCAGAAGGAUAGGGUAAGCGCGCUGUUGGAUAUGCGCGUCCAAGCAGUUAGGCUGACAACGAGGCAAAUCCCGUUGUCGUGAAGGCUGAGCUGUGAUGGCGAGGGAAUUAUAGUACCGAAGUUCCUGAUUCCACACUGCCAAGAAAAGCCUCUAGCGAGGUGAGAGGUGCCCGUACCGCAAACCGACACAGGUAGGCGAGGAGAGAAUCCUAAGGUGAGCGAGAGAACUCUCGUUAAGGAACUCGGCAAAAUGACCCCGUAACUUCGGGAGAAGGGGUGCUNNUUNGGGUGAAUAGCCNNGANNAGCCGCAGUGAAUAGGCCCAGGCGACUGUUUAGCAAAAACACAGGUCUCUGCGAAGCCGCAAGGCGAAGUAUAGGGGCUGACGCCUGCCCGGUGCUGGAAGGUUAAGNGGAGNGGUUAGCNCANGCGAAGCUNUGAANCGAAGCCCCAGUAAACGGCGGCCGUAACAAUAACGGUCCUAAGGUAGCGAAAUUCCUUGUCGGGUAAGUUCCGACC
rnacentral:rRNA from 1 species